rnacentral:misc_RNA from 1 species
CCGAGUUUUUACAACUCCCAAAACCCCUGUGAAACAUACCACUUGUUUGCCUCGGCGGAUCAGCCCCGCUCCCGGUAAAAACGGGGACGGCCCGCCAGAGGGACCCCUAAACUCUGUUUUCUAUAUGUAAACUUCUGAGUAAAAACCAUAAAUAAAUCAA